AAUUGAUUUGGAUAAGAUUUAUUGAUCAGAUUGUUUUAGAAAACCAACAGCAAAACACUGACAAGGUACAUAAAUACAGAUUGGACAUUUUAGGGUAAAUUCACUGUAUUUCCUACUUGCUUGUAGGAAACCGAGUAAAGUGGAAAAGCUGUCCUGAUCAUAUGGCAUGCACACCAGACUGCAAAAGGACGUCCACACUAUUUAACAGGACUGUGGCAAAAUAGCUUUAAAGUAAGGCGAGCAUUGUGUAUGGCCCAAGCAUACCCUGUAGGAAGAGCAAAGCUAGGCUCACCUCUCAGAGACUGUGUCUCAGAAAGAGGCUUCCUUUCUUGCCUAGGUUCUUCCAUGAAAUUCGUCAUUGGCAGGUGCUUUUCCAGGGAGAUGCCUGUGCUCUCCCUGUGCAGACUCUGUGCACAAGGAAGUGGCUUUAGAGAGUGUGUUUUCUGAUGCCUCCUUUAUAUUCUAAAUGUAUAACUAGUAAAACAACAAUUACUACCGCUUGGUGAAAUUGUUUUUUGUUUUUUUCUGAAAACUGCCUCUGACUCCACCCUGUACACUGACUAAGCAGGGCCCUUAAAAAACUUAUAAAAAGUUGUUUUUUUUUUUUUUUUUUUUUCAAAUUAAAAACAUGAAAAUUACACCAAAAAGAUGGAACUACUUUUGUAGCACAACUCAGAACUUCUGUUCGUAACACCGGACUAGAGAAGAGGUCGCUUUUGGCUGAAUCUAAUGACCUUAGAAGGGAAAGGCCAUUGCUGGGCAGGAUCUGGUGGCAACGCACACGGAAGUCCUAGAACUCUAUGAAGCCUACCUCAGGCCCUGCGGGUGCGUCUGGAGUUCCAAGGCAUUUGGGGAACCAAAGCAAUUUCAGCUAACAGUGACCAGUUUUUAGAAUGGAGCUUAUGAUCAGAGGACCAUAAACCCUCAUCCACCCUAGAGCUCAAUGCCAGAAAAAUAAAAAAUAAUACAAAAAAUAAAGGAAAAUAGCUUUUUGUGCUAUAUCAGAAUGCUGGCAGGUAGACAAUUCAGUAACCUGUGCCACUUUCUAAACAUCUGUAAGACCACAAAAAAAAAACCACAUACUUAGGGUCUACA
rnacentral:lncRNA from 1 species